rnacentral:rRNA from 1 species
UGAACGCUGGCGGCAGGCCUCACACAUGCAAGUCGAACGGUAACAGGCAGCAGCUUGCUGCUUCGCUGACGAGUGGCGGACAGGUGAGUAAUGUCUGGGAAGCUGCCUGAUGGAGGGGGAUAACUACUGGAAACGGUAGCUAAUACCGCAUAAUGUCGCAAGACCAAAGAGGGGGACCUUCGGGCCUCUUGCCAUCGGAUGUGCCCAGAUGGGAUUAGCUUGUUGGUGGGGUAACGGCUCACCAAGGCGACGAUCCCUAGCUGGUCUGAGAGGAUGACCAGCCACACUGGGACUGAGACACGGUCCAGACUCCUACGGGAGGCAGCAGUGGGGAAUAUUGCACAAUGGGCGCAAGCCUGAUGCAGCCAUGCCGCGUGUAUGAAGAAGGCCUUCGGGUUGUAAAGUACUUUCAGCGGGGAGGAAGGGAGUAAAGUUAAUACCUUUGCUCAUUGACGUUACCCGCAGAAGAAGCACCGGCUAACUCCGUG